rnacentral:rRNA from 1 species
GAUGAACGCUGGCGGCGUGCUUAACACAUGCAAGUCGAACGGACCAUAUUCGUAUGGUUAGUGGCAGACGGGUGCGUAACACGUGGGUGACCUGCCCUUAAGUGGGGAAUAACUCCGCUAACGCGGAGCUAAUACCGCAUAUGUUCGCUGAUUCAGUUUGGCGAGUAAAGCAGCAAUGCGCUUAGGGAGGGGCCUGCGGCGGAUUAGGUAGUUGGUGGGGUAACGGCCUACCAAGCCGAUGAUCCGUAGGGGGCGUGAGAGCGUGGCCCCCCACACUGGCACUGAGACACGGGCCAGACUCCUACGGGAGGCAGCAGUGAGGAAUAUUGCACAAUGGGCGCAAGCCUGAUGCAGCAACGCCGCGUGAGGGACGAAGGCCUUCGGGUCGUAACCUCUUUUCUGGGGACGGAGGAAGGACGUGUACCCCAGGAAUAAGUCUCGGCUAACUACGUGCCAGCAGCCGCGGUAAACGUAGCGUG